GAUUUUGGUCUAUAACUCAAAGAAGCCUGUUUCCACCAAAAAUGGCGUGAUGGCAACUCUCAGAGGUGUAUACUUCUCAUUUUGGCCAUCACUGAGUGGACAGAAACUCAUCCAGCUCUCUAAUGGAAAUGACGCAAUUGAUCCUAGGGUAUGUCUGACUAUACUAAAUAGAGAUAGGGUCUGUAGUCUAUGUCGGCAUCACGUUUACAAGCAGAAGGCGGCUCUUCUGAUUACAAUCAUUACAGUACUGAAG